UACGGGGGGAGCAAGCGUUGUUCGGAUUUACUGGGCGUAAAGGGCGCGUAGGCGGUCGUGACAAGUCACUUGUGAAAUCUCCGGGCUUAACUCGGAACGGCCAAGUGAAACUGUCAUGCUAGAGUGCAGAAGGGGCAAUCGGAAUUCUUGGUGUAGCGGUGAAAUGCGUAGAUAUCAAGAGGAACACCUGAGGUGAAGACGGGUUGCUGGGCUGACACUGACGCUGAGGCGCGAAAGCCAGGGGAGCAAACGGG
rnacentral:rRNA from 1 species